rnacentral:tRNA from 1 species
GGUGCCUUAGUGGUAGAGCGCUUGCCUCGCAUGCAAGAGGCCCUGGGUUCAAUUCCUCAGCACCA